UCAGUACUCCCUCUGUCCGGAAAUACUUGUCAUCAAAAUGGAUAAAAGGGAAUGUAUCUAGACAUAUUUUAGUUCUAGAUACAUCUCUUUUUAUACAUUUUGAUGACAAGUAUUUUGGGACGGAGGAAGUAGUUU
rfam:Triticum aestivum genome assembly, contig: Triticum_aestivum_CS42_TGACv1_scaffold_592200_7BS